CAGUUUUGUUUUGUGACAUCCUGAUUUGACAACAGCUUAACUUUUCAUUUUCUAACUUCUAUCCAAGUUAAUGGAAGCAGGCACAGUUCACUGUCAUGUCCAUUUCCCUAGAUUAGAAAAGUGCCUGGCAUAUAUUACAAGUUUAAUAAAUAAUAGUUGAUUAAAUACAUAAGGAGCCUGAAUGAGUAGUGCUACUGUGCGUGGGCUUGAUCUGCUUGCUGUACAACAGAAGAUAAUUAGUUAAAAGGAAUGAGAAUGACAGAGAAAGACCCUUAUUACAACAAAGCAGUUGACUGGAAAAUGGAAGGCAGUCUCCCUAUAAGGGCCAUUUUGCAAAGAGGCUGAGUCAGAGGCAGUGUGUAUCAGACAUGCGAUCUCAGACUAUUGGGCGCUCCUUACAGACAGAUGUUUAUGACCCGAUGACACAUAACUACAUUGUUUCUCAGUUCUGCAAGCUCAAGUACAGAGAUCAUGAGUUUCUCAGGCCAAUUUUGUCCAUGCUGCAUUCGCCUAUUUGCAAUUCCUGACAUAUUACACAGUGGACAGGAUGGAGCAAGCAGCUGCCCUCAGGCACCAUGGCUGACCAACAACCUCAAGGUGAAACUGCAGAAGUUGAAGAUAUGGCCCCCACCAAACUUUGGCCUAGUACCUGCUGCUGAGUCAGAAUACAUCUUGGGACAGAAGAUGCUAGAAGCAAAUAUUUUGAAAUGUCUGAAAGCAAAGGUUAAACAAGUUGACAAUAACAAAUGCGCUGGCUCCAAUGGCCGUUUCCAUUUCCUGCUGUAG
rnacentral:lncRNA from 1 species